CUACGGGAGGCAGCAGUGGGGAAUUUUCCGCAAUGGGCGAAAGCCUGACGGAGCAACGCCGCGUGAGGGAUGAAGGCCUCUGGGCUGUAAACCUCUUUUAUCAAGGAAGAAGAUCUGACGGUACUUGAUGAAUAAGCCACGGCUAAUUCCGUGCCAGCAGCCGCGGUAAUACGGGAGUGGCAAGCGUUAUCCGGAAUUAUUGGGCGUAAAGCGCGCGCAGGUGGUUUCUUAAGUCUGAUGUGAAAGCCCACGGCUCAACCGUGGAGGGUCAUUGGAAACUGGGAGACUUGAGUGCAGAAGAGGAAAGUGGAAUUCCAUGUGUAGCGGUGAAAUGCGUAGAGAUAUGGAGGAACACCAGUGGCGAAGGCGACUUUCUGGUCUGUAACUGACACUGAGGCGCGAAAGCGUGGGGAGCAAACAGGAUUAGAUACCCUGGUAGUCCACGCCGUAAACGAUGAGUGCUAAGUGUUAGAGGGUUUCCGCCCUUUAGUGCUGAAGUUAACGCAUUAAGCACUCCGCCUGGGGAGUACGGCCGCAAGGCUGAAACUCAAAG
rnacentral:rRNA from 1 species